CUGAGCUCUCUGUCUCUCUCUCUCCCCUUCUCUGGAAAUAACCAACAAAACCUUGGGAUUAUGUGUUGCGGGGAGAGAUGUGUUUUCAUCUGAGCUGGGGCUCAGGUUACAGCUGCCAGCUGCAGUCCCUGAACUUUCUCCGGCAGCCCUCUCCACUCUUAAGGCGAAGAAACAAGCUUCCAAGGGAGGAAACGUGGCCAGGAAACUGGGAGGCCCCAUGUUCUCUUUCUUUGCUUGAUUUAUUUUUCCUAAAAAAAAAAAGCCACGCGGCAAAAUAAUCCAUAUGGUUACAGAUAUCCACCUGAAGAUGGCGACAUGGCAGGACAACUGGUAAACCCAAGCUUAAGAAACAGCAUGAAGAGAAGCAGAUCACAGUCUCUCCCGGGCUUGAAAGAUAUCAUGUGGAGGGGAAAAUCACAUAUAUUUGGGGGUGGAGGAAAAGGGACCCUCCUAUACUGUUGGUGGGAAUGCAAAUUGGUACAGCCUCUGUGAAUAACAAUAUGGAGUUUCCUUUAAAAAACGAAAACUAGAGCUAACAUAUGACCCUGCAGCCCUACUCUCGGGCAUGCCUCCGGAGAACACUCUAAUUCGGAAAGACACGUGAACCCAGUGUCCAUGGCGGCGCUGUUUACAAUAGCCAAGAUGUGGAAAUGACUUGGAAGGUGAAUGAAUGGAUCAAGGAGAUGUGGUGUGUACAAUGGACUCGUGCUCAGCCACGAGAAAGAAUGAGAGAACGCCAUUUGCAGCGACACGGAUUGAACUCGAGAUUAUCGUAUGAAGCGAAGCUUCCUAGCUGGCACAGGCUUAGUUGCCCUGUGGCAUGUGGGAUCUAUUUCCUGACCAAGAAAAGAACCCAAGUACCCUGCACUGGAAGGUGGAUUCUUAACCACUGGAUCACCAGUUGGAGAUCCAUGACCAGAGUCUGAUCAGGAAGAAACAUCAGACAGAUCCCUAAUAAACAUUCUUUAAACAAAGAGGAUGGGGAGAAGGAUGGUCUUCUUCACAAAUGCCAAUAUCACAAAAGACAGAGAGGCUGAGGAAACGUUCCUGAUUAAAGACCGAAGAGACCGAACUAAAGGUAACCCAGAGCAUUCAAAAAUUUUUAUUUAUUUGGCUCUGAUGGGUCUUCACUGUGGCACCUGGAAUCCUUGCUGAGGCAGGCAGGCUUCUCUCUAGUUGGGCUCAGUUGCCCCGAGGCACGUGGGGUCUUAGUGCCCGGACCAGCGAUCGAAUCCACACACCUUGUAUUGGAAGGUGGAUUCUUAACCACGGGACCAUCAGGGAAGUCCCUAACCCAGGGCAUUAUCGAUCGGGCCAACGGAUACAACUGGAAUAAAAGUCAGCAGGUUUAAAUACAAAUAGUGUAGCAAUGUUAAAUUUACUAGUGGGUAACUGUAGGGUCCCUACGUGAGAGCAGCCUGAAUCUUAGGAAAAACACAUGGAAAUAUGUAAAGUAUCGUGAUGUAUGCUACGCAACUUACUCUCAAAGGACUCAGGAAAAAAGUGUGUGUGUGUGCAGACACAAAAUGCACACACCACAAUGCAGUGCGAGCAGAUGGAACAAAAUGUUUUGUAAUACGUGAAUCCAGCUGACCCAUACACAGGGAGUUCUUUGGACCUGGAGUUCUUUGGACCUUUUGGGCAACUUUCUCUAUUUAAAGUUCUUUCCAAAUAGUACCUCUAUUUAAAGUUGUCUCCAAAUACUAAGUUAAAAAAGAGAAACCAUCAGUAUCUUAAGAGGAUACUGCUAGCAGAAUGCAAUCCAGAAUUGAUUCAUCCUUAAAAGAAAAGGCCAAAUCCAACGGUUGACAAG
ensembl:lncRNA